GAUUCUUGAUUUCAUUCGUGACCCUAGUUGCCUUUUUUCUUAACCUGAGUAAUGAGCAAGUCUUUAAAAGCCUUGCCUUUGUUAACAGAGAAAUGGAUUACACAAAUACUUUAGCAUAACUGCAGUUCUUUACCAACAAAAAGCAACCAUACAGAAGAUCCAACUUCCCUAAACACAACUGAAAAGAGAAGGCCCCCACUCGCUGCUUCCAAGCCCACCUCUACAGUCCACACCAGACGGUUUCCCCAUUUCCCAUCAGGUCCCAUUCACACUCUCCUCUGCUGCUUCGCACUGCCUGUAAUCCUUUGCCAGGCUCUCCCAGUUACCACAGCCGAUCCUGGAGAUGCUCUCCGGGUCACAAACCUCCUCAGCUCACUCUCCAUGUGACACCGUGCUUACAGAACAGGCAUUUUUUGUCCACUCCUGUCGCGUGAGGAGAGACUUACUACUACACUUUCUGUGUAGCUUGGAAGUGGGGUGCAGGCGUCGUCAUCGGCUGAAGCAGGUCUCCGACCAGCACAGAACACGGACGUUGCUCAGUGACCUGUGCAGCCCCCUGUGUACAUACAGGGAGUUAAAGAACGCUGUACUAAAGCACAGCAAAGGUGUAACAGCACAUUGAGGCAUUUUCUGCAUGGGGAAAUAGAUCAAUACAGCUACAGCAAAGUUAUUAUUACCACCACAGCUAUGCAAGUAAAACUCCCUCAAGUGUGAUUCUGUGACAGCCACGUCUAUCUCAGGUCAAGUGUGCAAAUGCAGAAGUUAAAACGCCCUAGCUAGAAUAUUUAUUGUGCUAUAAAGACCAAGCCCUAAAGAGGAGAUACCUGAAUAUAGCAGGGUGGGGAGGAAAAACCCCACACUUGUUUCCUUUCCUUUUAAUCGCAGCACAUUAGCCAAAUGCAAUAAACGGGACCCAAAAUUUAGGUGGGGAACAUGCUUUUGGAGGACGACUGCAAGCGGUUCCUCUAACACUUCAGGAGAUCAAACUCGACUUUCUGCACUGUUCUUCAAGCACAUGCAAACAUCAUGCAAAAAAUACACGCUUUGAGCGGUGCAGAAGAGGUGGUGCAGCUUGGAGAAGAACUAUAAAAAAGUCCUCACUUGUGUGUGGGAAGGCUUAGGGGAAUAUUUCAGCACAUCAGGAGCUGAAUCACUGCAUGUAGGUGGAGCCAGACAGAUUGACAAGAUCUGCAACUUGAAAAAUGACCUAAGUCUGAGAUCAAUCAUCUCAAAAGUAGCUGACUGAGGGAACAUAUGGAGACAGAUCAAGGUGACGAGGCUGAAUGUCAGCACGGCAGGGAAAAACUGCACUGGAUGCACAUGCAACUGACCGAGCAUUGUGCAACUCAAAGCACGGACAACUCUCGGCAUAACAGGCUGAGCGCUGUUUCCUUCUGUUGCCUUUCAGUGUCACCACAACUUUAUCUCAGACUCUUGUCUACUACAGCAGCACGUAAAAAAGGCACUCUGGGGGAAGCCAUUAGCAAACGUCUCUUUUUUAUGCAUUAGAUUAAUGAAGAAUCUGACUUUCAGGUAACGACUUCUGAAAAGUUGUAGAGCAGCCACUUGAUGCAAAACUAAGAAUUAAUUGUACAUCAGAUAAAAGCAUGAAAGCUUGGUGCAGUCUUGUUAUUUUUUCAAGUUUUACAGCCCUUCAGAUCACUGAAUCCCAGUAAGAUCUGCUCUAGAGGUUAACCCAGGAUAUUAAACUGGACUCAAAUUACAAACAAACCCAAGUAAUAACUUAUUAUUCAACUCCUUCAGAAACUUGGGAGCCGAUUCGUCAUAAGACCUGUAUUCUUCUACACAUGCAAACACACAGAUUUCUACAGCUAAGCAUUUCCUGACUUCUGCCACCGGAGACAAAGAAUUCAUGACGACAUUCAGUGCCCCACUAUUCCAAUUCUGCACGAGCUCAGAAUACUUCCGUUUGUGCCUCUGUAAGGACACUGUUCCCCGUGCUGUGGAAUGGAUUCUGACUGUGGGCAGGCAGGAGGCAGUACGCCACCUUCUCAGGUCUGUGUGUCUACUUACAGCAGGAGCUGAGAUGCACAACGCAGGUUUCAUUGAGUUUAUGCUCAGUGACAACAGCUAAGAAUAUGCACUCUGUUUGAUAGGGGAUAACUGGUAUCAUCCAAAGACUCGCAUGUGCAGCAAUCCCAAAUAAACAGGACUGACUUGAUAGU